rnacentral:rRNA from 1 species
UACGAAGGGGGGCUAGCGUUGCUCGGAAUCACUGGGCGUAAAGGGUGCGUAGGCGGGUCUUUAAGUCAGGGGUGAAAUCCUGGAGCUCAACUCCAGAACUGCCUUUGAUACUGAGGAUCUUGAGUUCGGGAGAGGUGAGUGGAACUGCGAGUGUAGAGGUGAAAUUCGUAGAUAUUCGCAAGAACACCAGUGGCGAAGGCGGCUCACUGGCCCAUUACUGACGCUGAGGCACGAAAGCGUGGGGAGCAAACAGG